CCUACGGGAGACAGCAGUGGGGAAUAUUGCGCAAUGGGCGAAAGCCUGACGCAGCGACGCCGCGUGAGGGAUGAAGGUCUUCGGAUCGUAAACCUCUGUCAGCAGGGAAGAACGGUCACUGUGCUAAUCAGCAGUGAAUUGACGGUACCUGCACAGGAAGCACCGGCUAACUCCGUGCCAGCAGCCGCGGUAAUACGGAGGGUGCGAGCGUUAAUCGGAAUUACUGGGCGUAAAGCGCUCGUAGGCGGUAUGUCAAGGCAAGGGUGAAAUCCCCGCGCUCAACGUGGGAACUGCCUUUGAAACUGGCAAACUGGAGUGUGUGAGGGGAUAGUGGAAUUCCAGGUGUAGGGGUGAAAUGCGUAGAUAUCUGGAGGAACAUCAGUGGCGAAGGCGACUAUCUGGCACAUAACUGACGCUGAGGAGCGAAAGCGUGGGUAGCAAACAGGAUUAGAUACCCUAGUAGUC
rnacentral:rRNA from 1 species